CCGCUGCAUCAUCCGGGCAACGGAAUUAGAGACAUUUUAUUUGUGUUUUACAUCUUCAUGUACCAUGCAAUGUGCCUGUUCAUUAUAACGCCCUUAGGCAAGCUCUCAUCACUUCCCUGUCUCCCCCCUGGGGAAUAGAAAAUGGAAGCUCCCUAUAUCCGACCCCUGUCACCUUAAUGAGGUUGGUUUCCACAUACAGAAUAGGCCAAAGACAUAGGAUAAAAAUUUUUUUUUGAAGAUUUAAAAGGGUAAAUGUCUUGUCAUGGAAAUGCUAAUAAGUAAUAAUAAGUCUGUUAUUUUUUUCUAAGUUAUAUCUAUUUUUUUUUUACUUGAUAUUUGGGCAUUUUUGUUAUUUUUUUUUUUUAAAUGAUCCGCAUUUUUUGGCAAAAAACAAGACAUAUAAUAAUGGGGCACAAUUGCUAAAAACAUUUUUAAUCAAUAAGAUUUAAUUUUUUUGUGAAUGUUUUUUUUUCUAUUUCACUGUGCAUUUUAGUUCGCAUAAUAUCGUUCCAUUUGUUCAUGAGUCGACGUUUUAUUUAUUGCUGUUCAGCUGUUCACUAUGUAACAAUGUUUGUAUACAUGUACCUUAUAACUGAACACCCAACAACGGUUAAACACCACCCCACACCCUAACCCCCCCCCCCCCCCCUAAAAAGGCACUGUGUGGAAUAUGAGUACACUGUACUGGCGAAAUCCCUACCCUAUUUUUACUUUGUUAAAACGAAAAUAAAAAGUAAAUAAUUUU
rnacentral:misc_RNA from 1 species